rnacentral:rRNA from 1 species
UACAGAGGGUGCGAGCGUUGUCCGGAAUCACUGGGCGUAAAGGGCGCGUAGGUGGCCCGACAAGUCCGUGGUGAAAGCUCGACGCUCAACGUCGAGUCGGCCAUGGAUACUGUUGGGCUGGAGCACUGUAGAGGCUCAUGGAAUUCCGGGUGUAGCGGUGGAAUGCGUAGAGAUCCGGAGGAAGACCGGUGGCGAAGGCGGUCUGCUGGGCAGUUUCUGACACUGAGGCGCGACGAGCGUGGGGAGCAAACAGG